GAGAUGAAGUUUGAAGCUUCACUGGGCUCACUGUUGCCAGCAGCGUUCACGGCAGUCACUCGGAACUGAUAAAGAGUAGACGCCUUGGUGGCUCCUCUGGCAGUUCUUGAUGACCAUGGAUGAGCUAAUUGCUGUGGUCUCAAUGGCGGCCUCUUGAGUAGCCAGUAAUUGGAGACCCUCCGUUGUCCAGAGGAGGGGUCCAGCUCACAAGCAUAGAUCCUUUGGUACGUUCUAAGACUUUCGGUUUUCCAGGAGGCCCGGGGAGGCGGAGUUACUUACAGAUUGGAUCGCGAGCUGUUUUAGGAUCCGAAGGUGGGCUGAACUUUCCAGGUCCAGCAGCGUUUUCAGCACAAACUCGGAAGACAUAGGUGACACACAUACCCCCAAUCAAUAAAACAUACCAAUAGGGUCGACAGCUUUGGUUGGGGGAGUGGCCCGGGAAGGUUCACCAAUACCAGCAGCGUUCUCCGCUCGCACACGGAAUUGGUACUCU
ensembl:antisense Gm13938 predicted gene 13938